AUUGAACGCUGGCGGCAGGCCUAACACAUGCAAGUCGAGCGAGCGGCGGACGGGUGAGUAAUGUCUGGGAAACUGCCUGAUGGAGGGGGAUAAAUACUGGAAACGGUAGCUAAUACCGCAUACCAUCAGAUGUGCCCAGAUGGGAGUAGCUAGUAGGUGGGGUAACGGCUCACCUAGGCGACGAUCCAUAGCUGGUGUGAGAGGAUGACCAGCCACACUGGAACUUAGACACGGUCCAGACUCCUACGGGAGGCAGCAGUGGGGAAGAGUGCACAAUGGGCGCAAGCCUGACGCAGCCAUGCCGCGUGUGUGAAGAAGGCCUUCGGGUUGUAAAGCACUUUCAGCGGGGAGGCGUUACCCGCAGAAGAAGCACCGGCUAACGCCGUGCCAGCAGCCGCGGUAAUAC
rnacentral:rRNA from 1 species